rnacentral:lncRNA from 1 species
GUCUUGUAAAUUUUAUGACCACCCAACUAAGCUACGGAUUUGUCAACGGCGCGGGUGGUGAUGGUCCGACUAAUAUCUAUGCCAAGAUCCAGUGCCGGCCCGAUGCCUCUGAAUCCAUAUGCCGCUCUUGCAUCAAUACCGCAUUAUCUGAUGUAACAUCGAUCAUUUCAGUAUUGUCAAUUUAGCUAUUAUACAUGAUUACAUAUAUAAAACUUUGUGACUAUAUAUUAUGACAGCUCCGUAGGAAAUGUCCGAACAACAAAGGGAGAAUAAUAUGGUACGACAACUGUCUUCUCGACAUUUCUUCGAUCUUUAGCUUAGGUGAAAUCGAUUAUAGGUACAUAUUUUACAUGUACAACGCGAAGGAUGUGAGCAGCAAUAAAAUAGCGUUCAACAAGAACACGAAGGAGCUCCUCUGUGAGCUGAAGGAGAAAGCAAUUAAUAAAAAAGAACUGCCAUACAGGAGAGACUACCUGUAUGCGGCGGGUGCUGAAAAUCUCGGAACAACGAAAUUGUAUGCAAUGGUACAAUGUACAAAGGACUUAUCGGCAUUUAAUUGUAGUGUGUGUUUGGAUGGGAUUAUGGAAAAGCUUCCCAAAUGCUGCAAUGGUAAACAAGGAGG